UUAGUGGAAGCGUCUGGAAAGGCGCGCGAUACAGGGUGACAGCCCCGUACACAAAAGCGCAUGUGCUGUGAGCUCGAUGAGUAGGGCGGGACACGUGGUAUCCUGUCUGAAUAUGGGGGGACCAUCCUCCAAGGCUAAAUACUCCUGACUGACCGAUAGUGAACCAGUACCGUGAGGGAAAGGCGAAAAGAACCCCGGCGAGGGGAGUGAAAAAGAACCUGAAACCGUGUACGUACAAGCAGUGGGAGCCCCACCACUAAGCCAGUGGUGAACUCCACAUACGCAUCCUUUGCUGAGGAUACGGUUAACGGAGCGAAAGCGACGUUCAACCGCAAAAGAAGCAGAGGGGGCUUAGUGGUGGGGUGACUGCGUACCUUUUGUAUAAUGGGUCAGCGACUUAUAUUCUGUAGCAAGGUUAACCGAAUAGGGGAGCCGCAGGGAAACCGAGUCUUAACCGGGCGUUAAGUUGCAGGGUAUAGACCCGAAACCCGGUGAUCUAGCCAUGGGCAGGUUGAAGGUUGGGUAACACUAACUGGAGGACCGAACCGACUAAUGUUGAAAAAUUAGCGGAUGACCUGUGGCUGGGGGUGAAAGGCCAAUCAAACCGGGAGAUAGCUGGUUCUCCCCGAAAGCUAUUUAGGUAGCGCCUCGUGAAUUCAUCUCCGGGGGUAGAGCACUGUUUCGG
rnacentral:rRNA from 1 species